rnacentral:rRNA from 1 species
UAGGGAAUCUUCCGCAAUGGACGCAAGUCUGACGGAGCAACGCCGCGUGAGUGAAGAAGGAUUUCGGUUCGUAAAACUCUGUUGUUAGAGAAGAACAGCGCAUAGAGUAACUGUUAUGCGUGUGACGGUAUCUAACCAGAAAGCCACGGCUAACUACGUGCCAGCAGCCGCGGUAAUACGUAGGUGGCAAGCGUUGUCCGGAUUUAUUGGGCGUAAAGCGAGCGCAGGCGGUCAAUUAAGUCUGAUGUGAAAGCCCCCGGCUCAACCGAGAAGGGUCAUUGGAAACUGGUUGACUUGAGUGCAGAAGAGGAGAGUGGAAUUCCAUGUGUAGCGGUGAAAUGCGUAGAUAUAUGGAGGAACACCAGUGACGAAGGCGACUCUCUGGUCUGUAACUGACGCUGAAGCUCGAAAGCGUGGGUAGCAAACAGG